rnacentral:rRNA from 1 species
AACGAACGCUGGCGGCAGGCUUAACACAUGCAAGUCGAGCGCCCCGCAAGGGGAGCGGCAGACGGGUGAGUAACACGUGGGAACGUACCUUUUGCUACGGAAUAGCUCCGGGAAACUGGAAUUAAUACCGUAUGUGCCCUUCGGGGGAAAGAUUUAUCGGCAAAAGAUCGGCCCGCGUCUGAUUAGCUAGUUGGUGGGGUAAUGGCCUACCAAGGCGACGAUCAGUAGCUGGUCUGAGAGGAUGAUCAGCCACACUGGGACUGAGACACGGCCCAGACUCCUACGGGAGGAAGCAGUGGGGAAUAUUGGACAAUGGGCGCAAGCCUGAUCCAGCCAUGCCGCGUGAGUGAUGAAGGCCUUAGGGUUGUAAAGCUCUUUCGCUAGGGAAGAUAAUGACGGUACCUAGAGAAGAAGCCCCGGCUAACUUCGUGCCAGCCGCCGCCGUAACAC